UACGUAGGGUGCGAGCGUUAAUCGGAAUUACUGGGCGUAAAGCGUGCGUAGGCGGUUCGUUAAGUCAGCUGUGAAAGCCCCGGGCUCAACCUGGGAAUUGCGGUUGAAACUGGCGAAUUAGAAUCUGGCAGAGGGGGGUGGAAUUCCACGUGUAGCAGUGAAAUGCGUAGAGAUGUGGAGGAACACCGAUGGCGAAGGCAGCCCCCUGGGCUGAGAUUGACGCUCAGGCACGAAAGCGUGGGGAGCAAACAGG
rnacentral:rRNA from 1 species